rnacentral:rRNA from 1 species
AAGAGACAGCAGCCGCCGCGGUAAUACGAAGGGUGCAAGCGUUACUCGGAAUUACUGGGCGUAAAGCGUGCGUAGGUGGUGGUUUAAGUCCGUUGUGAAAGCCCUGGGCUCAACCUGGGAAUUGCAGUGGAUACUGGGUCACUAGAGUGUGGUAGAGGAUAGUGGAAUUUCCGGUGUAGCAGUGAAAUGCGUAGAGAUCGGAAGGAACAUCUGUGGCGAAGGCGACUAUCUGGGCCAACACUGACACUGAGGCACGAAAGCGUGGGGAGCAAACAGGAUUAGAUACCCGAGUAGUCCCUGUCUCUUAUAC